rnacentral:lncRNA from 1 species
UUAACCUUAACAUAUAACCAAGAAAAGUUAUUCUUAAAAAGAGCCUUAACAUGAAAUGAAGAUACAUGUAUUAAUGAAGAUAGUAGUAGAAGGAUAUUACAGUAGAUAUUAUACGCCUAUGAUAGAUACAGGAGCAGAAGCUAAUUUAUGUAGAUAUAAUUGCUUACCAGAAAGCAAAUGGGAUAAACUAAAAACACCAAUAAUAGUUAAAGGAUUUAAUAAUGAAGGAAGCUUAAUUACUUAUAAAGCUAGGAAUGUAAAAAUACAAGUAUGGGAUAAGAUAUUAACAAUAGAAGAAAUUUAUAAUUAUGAAUUAACAUCAAAAGAUAUACUUUUAGGAAUGCCAUUUUUAGAUAAAUUAUACCCACAUAUAAUAACCAAAACAGACUGGUGGUUUACAACACCAUGCAAACAAAAAGUAAGAGCAAAAAGAGUUAAUAAUAAAAUAAGAAAGAAAACUGAUUGGAUAAAAGGAAGUGAAAAAAUUACACAAAAGUUAGAAAAUAUAAACAAUACUGAAGAUACAGUAGAACUAGUAGUAUUUUCGAUAAAUAAAACAGAAAUAACUAUAUUUUCAAUUAAUAAAAUAGAAAUAAUUCAGAAAAAAUUAGAACAAUUAUAUAGUGAAGAUCCAUUAAAAGGAUGGGAAAAACACAAAACUACUAUAAAAAUUGAAUUAAUAGAUAAGAACAGCAUAAUAACACAAAAACCAUUAACAUAUAAUUUCGAUGAUUUAAAAGAAUUUAAAAUGCACAUAGAUGAAUUAUUAGAAAAACAAUAUAUACAAAAAAGUAAUAGUAAACAUAAUAGUCCAGCAUUUAUAGUAAAUAAACAUAGUGAACAAAAAAGAGGAAAAAGUAGGAUGGUUAUUGACUAUAGAAAUUUAAAUGCAAAAACUAUAACAUAUAAUUAUCCGAUACCAUAAUUGUUCGUCAGCCUAUUUUGCGAAAGCUUAUUUUAAAAAAAAAAAAUUAUAUCAUAUCAUAAUUUAAUUUAUCAUAACUACUUAAAAUUCUUCUCCCCCCCCAACUAGUAAAUUUUUUUUUUGGUAAAGCACCAAUUAAUAAACUUAUUCAUGCUUCACACAGUCAUAAAGAUAAAUAUAUAAGAUAAAAAUAUUAAAAAAAAAAAAAUUUCCACUUAAUUGUUUUCCUCUAAAUUUAACAUUUUAAUCCUCUAAAAAAAACUUUGACUUUUGCAUAAUCUUCAAGAAUACUAUAAUGAUUGAACUUCAAUGACAAAUUCUCAUGUAAUAAAAUUAAUUGUCAUUGGUUAGAUAAUUAUUGAGAGGCGAGAACAUAAUACUGAUAAGAAAAUGAAAGCUGUCGAGCAUUCUGAGUGAAUAAUUGGCAUAUAUAAAAUAUCUUAUGUUAUUUUAACUAUACAACUCUUCUUGACUUAUUCAUCUUUUAUUGCUUUAGUUAGCAUUCGAAUUAAUGCCAUAGUAGGAGUAAUCAACAGUUAAAACUUAAACAAAGCAAAUUAUGAUCUAUUUUCCACAUUUAUUUAGGAGAAUAAAGCCAAGACAUUUUGUUGUUAGUAAAUCAAGAGAUGUUCCGUAAUUUCUUAGUCUCGUGUAUAAAAUAACAAUCAAUACCUUGUUACAUUAUAAGCGUUGUGAGUUGUUUAAAAUUGGAUCUUAUUAAUUUGUAGAACAUCAUUUGAUGUGAAUAAAAAUUGAUAUGAAAGUAAUAUUUAGACAAUUAAAAGUAUAUUUAAAAAAAAAAAAUCAAAAGAACUUUUUCAUGUUAAUAUCUUAAAUAGAUAUUUUCGAAUUAGUACACAUUAAUGGAAUGAACAUAUAGUGUUUGUGUUUGUCACGAUCCAAAAAUUAAGGUCAUGAUGACACUUAUCACGGCUAAGCCUUGACAAAUAAGUCAAUCACCCAAACUGAUAUAUAAUAGGAAAUCAUAAUUUGAAUUUCAAGGUGAGACUUCUAGAGCGAAGUCGAAUAAUUCAUGUACAACAAUAGCGGAAGUCUGAAUAAUAAUAAUAAUAUCACACAUCAUCCCAAGACCUAGUAUCACAGUGCAAGAGCAAUCUAAUACAACUCAAAGUCUGCAAAUAUAAUUAAAAAUCUAAAAAAUUACAAGUUUGUCUCAAAAUACAAAAUAAGACAUAAACUGGAUAUGAGGAGGUCUAAGGUCGACUCUGAAGGCAUAGAGUAGUCAAUACCUCGAAGGGUCAAAGAUCACCGCACAAACUCAGUUGUCGUGCGACGCCCUUAUACCUGGAUCUACACCGAAAGACACAGUAGAGAUGAGCAUGUAUAUACAUACUAUAAGCACGUAAAAUGCAAUCAGAAAAUAUCCCAAACGAUAGCUCACACCAUCUCAGUUAACAAUUCUAAAUAUAGCACAUAAGCAAUAAAACAGGUACAUAAAAGAUCAAGAAUAAAUAUGCAUCAAAUUACACAUAAAAGUACAACACUGAAGAUGCAUAAAGUAUGAAAUGUAAUGGUGAUGAUAAUAAUGAUGUGAUAUGACUAAGGUUAUCAAAUAACCUCCGUAUAUACCUACCGAGCCUCAAUAUUUUCAAGUAGAACCCAAGGGGGUUCACAAUCCAUAUACUAUCUCAAUACUCAAUCUCAAUCUCAAUAUCCAGACCUUCUCUCCCACUCAUAAGCUACAACGGAGGAUUCUGUAAAAAUAUCUCUCUUCUCUCAAAAUUAGUAUUUCCACAAUGGUAGUAAUAUCUCGUAAUGUAUGUAUGAUAUGAGGAUGUGGUGCUCACAAUCAAAUCAGUAUGAAGAUCUCAAAAUCUAUUCAAUAAAUAUACACAUAAGCUCAGAAUCCCAAUCAAUAUAUCAACCAACCAUGAUUAUGUAUAAGCAAUAUACCAUCUGUUGACACCAAAUUUUUGCCCUCCACGAGUAAAUUUAAUCCUGAGUUUCUUUAAUUUUUAAUAAAAUCGGAAUGUUUAUAUCAUUCGAAUAAAUGUGCUCUAAAAAUUUAUUUUGGAUUAAUUUUGUCAUUUAAGUGACAAUUAUACGUUGCAUAUUUACAUAUGCGUGAUUGUAUAAAUUUUGUUACUUAAAUGAACAUCUUAUCAAAAUUGGACUAUUAUUAAGAUUUAUCUUGAAAAUCAAUUCAAAUGGGAAAAGUCUUGAUUUAAAUAUAAUUUGUUGUCAAAAAUAAUUUAUUUGAAAAAAAAAAAGGUGUUUGAUUUUAUCAAAUCAAGAAACUCAAGAUAAAACUGGUUAUUAAUUCGUAUCGGAUUGUAACUAAAUUUAGCCAAAAUUAUUAAAUUUGACCAUAAUUAAAACAAUGAUAACAAUUACAAUGCAAUUGACCAAUCGAUUUUCAAUUUGGUUAAAAAUUAAAUAAAUUUAGCUAAAUCCUAAAUUAAUUGGGGCUAUUUUUUAAAUAACCCCAAAAUCCUUUUUUUAACCCAAAAAUUAACUUCUUUCUUUUUUUAAAGGAAAAAUUACAUAAACUAGCAACCCUAAGACAUUAAUUAAUGUAAACACCUAAUUUUUUUUACCAAACCUAAAGUUUUUAUGUCAUUUUAGUGUUUAAUUUUUUUUUUUUAGGUCUAAAUUAGAUAUUUUAAGUUUAUCUUAUUUUACAAGGUUUGUUUAAAAGUUUUGAAAAUACAAAAAUAGGGUCAUAUUUUAAUAAGCUUUUAUUUUUAUUAUUAUUAUUUUUUAUUGAUUUAUUGAUUUAAAAAAAUAAUAAUAAAAAUUAUAUUUGUCUUCUUCUUUUAACUUUUAAUAAAGAAUCCAGUGAAAUUAAUAUUUCUAAAUCAUAUUACUAAGGCUAUCUAUUUAACUUAUUUUAUUAAUUUUAAAUAGAUUUUAUCACUUUUAUUUUUAUUUAAAAUAUUUAAAAAAAAAAACUAAAAGCUACCCCAUCACCCAUUACCUCCACUACCCAAACCACCCCACAAUUCCAACUUCCUCCGACCCAUAAGCACAACACACACUUUCACACACAACAUUCCAUACAAAUACACUCCCUAUAUAACACACUCACAACACACUAUAGAAAGAGGGAGAAACCCAUACGUAUUACAAAAAAAGAAAGUUGAGGAGAAAACAAAAAAACAAGAAGAAAACUAAGGAAAACAGAAAGGAAAAGUAAGAGAGAAAACAAGAGAAACAGUAAGGAAAAGAAGAAAGAAAAUAAUAGGGAACAAAGAAGAGGAAGAAGAAACACACGAGUGAGAAGUGGAGUUUGGGGUUUUUCCGUUCGAUUUUUUUUUUGGUUUGACAUAAGAGCUCCUCUUUCGAUUUAGUUCAUCAUACAGGUUUUUAUUUAAUUCCUAUACCAUUAUUUUUGUAAAUUUGGUUAUGAAUCAAAGCAUGAAUAGAGUUAUUUUCAUGACUUUUUCUAUUAUUCGUUAUGUGCAAUUUAUUAUUUUUAUAUAGUUUACUUUAUGUCUCCGUUUAUAACUAGUUUGCUAUUCCAAAGUAACGUUAACUAAAUUUGAUUAAUUUCCAAAUGAGAUAGUCGUUAGGGUCAUUAGCGUUAAAAGAUGUAAUGUUGUAUUCGGUUGACAUGUGAUUAGUACUAUUGCGUUGUAACUAGAAUCUUCGACCUAUAUGUGUGCAUGCAUGCAAAAAGAAUUUAAAAAUAAAAUCCACAUUCAUGCACACGUUUUACCACCCUAAACAUUCUUAUAAGAAAAUAUUGUGAGAUGGAUAUAGACUUAGAAAAAGAAAAGUAAACAAAAAAAAAGAAGAAAGAAAUAGGCAGUACAAAAGAAAAGAGUAGAAUGUUUUAAUAUAAGUUUUUUUCUUACUAUGCAAAAAUUGUUUUAGAUAUGGAGUUUGUGUUUGCUAGUAUAUGACAUUGAUGAAGGGUACAAUUGUUUCAUAUAGUUUUGAGACUAUAGAAUUGGUACAUGUUUGGCUCAAUAUAGAAGAUCACCUAGAGAAAAUCAAGAGCAACAAUUUAGUUUUGAGAAAAGAUUUAAGAGGACAAUAGUAUUUUCUUUAUUUCAUUUUAGUAUUAUCAUUUUUUUAAUAAAUAAAUUUGUUAUGUUGAUUAUAUAUUUUCUGUUCUUUUUUUGUUUUGUUGUUAACUUCAUUAUUAUGAUAACUUUGUUAACUGUAAUUUUAUUAAUUAAACUUUAUUAUGUUAUUAUGUUAAAUUACUUUUAAGUAAUUUUGUUUAGCUUCUAUAUAGUUUUGUUCGUUAAAGCGUAAGACUAAUCUUUUUCGUUUAAAAAUAUUAAAAUAUAUAAUCAUAACUGCAUACGGAUAAAAAAAGAGGAAAAACUCAUUUGUAAGGGAGCAGACUUGUAAAAGAACGAGUUAGGUUCUUAAUCUCAAGAAAACUUUAAAUUUGAUACAAGUGAAAUUUAAUGAUGAAGUUGGAAAGCCCUGCUACUGACCAUUCGUUAUAAUAAAUUAACCUACCAUUUGAAGCCGAUUGAAUUGGGUUGGGUAGAUUUUAAGCCUAUUAGGUGCUUAUUUAGACUAGAAAAAUGGGAACGACUCAUAAAUGCCUCAAAGGCACGAGAAAUGUAUCAAAACUCGUGGUGAGGCGGGAGGGUACUGUUACUUGCAAGCCACACAUUAAUAUAACAAAACAAUAUAUCAAAUAAUUUAAAAUAAAUUAAAAGCAGGAUGUAAGUAGCUUUUAGGCUAACAAAUGUUUUAUAUAUCUAAAAGAUUAAUUUAAGCCAGAUGUAAGUCAUUAAAGCGACCAUGCUAGAACCACAGGACUCGAGGGGUGCCUAAUACCUUCCCCUCGGUCAACAGAAAUCCUUAUCCGGAUUUCUAGUUCACAGAUCAAAAAUAAAGAGUCAUUUCCUUUUGAAUAGGGAUUCAAUAAGGUGACUUGGAACACCCAAACUCAAUUUCAAGUGGCGACUCUGUAAAUAAAAUAAUCCCUACUCAAAACGUUACUUUAAUUGGAAAAACUCAUUUUCUCUAAAACCAACUCCCUAGCGGGGUCGGAUGCGGUAAAAAUAGGGGUGUGACAAUUACAAUCAAUAGCAAUACUUUCUCAAAAUUACAACUAAUAACAAAACAUAGCAAUAUUUUAUCUUUGUUAGAUAAAAGCGUGUGUAUUGAACUUCUCUUUUUAUCCAUCCCCUUUUUACGCUACUUUACCAAAUCCAAUUCCCUACAAUCUUCAAUUUUUUUUUUCAAAUACCAUUUUUAUCUCUCAAGAUCUUGAUAAAAAUUGCAUCCUUCAAUUAAGGUAAGUUUAUUUUAAAGUUUAUGCAAGUUAUAUUUUUCGUAUAAAUUCUUUUAUGUGGUUUAUUGUCGAAUUUUUUUUUUUCAAUUUUUUCAUUCUUCUUUGUCGAUUUCGUUCAUUAGGUUUUUUUGGUGUGCGUAUUGAAAUUUUUCGGAGUUCCACUAUAAUGGCACAACAUGUAAAUCGUAGUAGUUUCAUUAAAGGUAUUCAACCGAUGAAUUUGAUUUUUGAUGAACUACUAUCGUUUAGUCUUAGGUUAACAGAAGAUGAAGAUUUUAACUUGUGUUCUACUAAUAUUCAGCCUAAGGGAGGUGUUAGUAGUGAAGAUGUGAGAUUGAAGCACCGUAACAAUCCGAAAAACUUUGUGGAAAAAAUGAAACAAAAAAAUUUGAGAAAAUCUUCAUCUCCAAAAUCCACAAAAAUUCAAAAAUUGAUGAAAAGAUGAAGUUGGAUGAAAAAGGUGAAUCUAGUAAAAUUUCAAGUCCUAUUUCAUCUAAUUUCUAAUUCGAAGAAGAGAAAGUGGAGGUGGUAUGAUGCUAUUUGUAAAAUUUUAUAGUUUCUGGACAACAUGUUCAUAUAUGUAUUUUAUAUAUACAAUUUAUUAGGUGUGUAUUUAUUUUUCAGUUUUGUUAAGAUAUGAAAUUGUAGUCCCUAAUGUGCUGUUAAGAUAUGAAAUUGUAGUCCCUAAUUGUAUUUAUUUUAUAUUUGUUAUAUGUAAGAUAUGUAUUUUGUACAAAGAUUUGUUACUGAUAGAAUUGUAUAUGUUAUGUAUUAUAUAUAUAUUUUUGUAUGUAUUUGUAUUUAUGUUAUGUGUAAGACAUUAGUAUUUGUCACUGAUAAGGUUUGUUCUCAUGUUCAGUUGUAUUAUAUUCUGGUUACUUAAAUUUGGACCAUUCAUGUAUUCAUAAAAUACAUAUGUAUAUGUUGUAAUAUAAGUAUAAUAUGUAUUCUGUAAAUACAUAAAUGACACUGUUUUGACAUGUAAAGUAUAUACAUGCUACAAUUUAGAUAUGUUUUUAUUUUGUUUACUGUUAUGAUUUGUAUUUAAUGUUAAUUGUAUUUGUUAUCAUUAGAUUUUGACUAUGAUAUGUACUUCUUUCUUCUUACUAAGCAUGAUUUUUCUGCUAGAUAUGUAUAAAUAAAAUACAUAUGUAUUUGAUUUGCUUGAAAUAUAUGAAAUGUAUUUGUUACAGGUUAGAUAUAUUUUUUUUAGUUAUUGAUAACAUUUAUAUUUUUUGCUCAGUUGUAUUUGUUAUUCAUGGGACGAUAACAAUAUUUGUAUUUUGAUGUUUGAUAACUAAGAUAUGGACCAGUGAUGUAACUUUAAGAUGUAAUGUAACUUUAAGAUGUAUUUUCGUAAACAUCUUAAUUUUAUAACAGGUUCUUACUUAUUGAUAUAUGUAUUUGCAGGGAUUGUGGCUUAUAUAUGCUAACAUAUGCUGAGUGUCUUACUUUUGGUGAAGGUGUUCCAUCUGUUGGUUUUGACCCAGAUCUUAUUCGCACAAGAUAUGUUUUACUUUUCUGGGAUUAUUGUUUGAGAAAAGAAGAAGCGAAGGCACAAAGUGAUGAUGAAGCACCAAUGAGGCCUCCUACAAAAAUUAGGAUAACAGAAGACACUGAAGUGCAUGAUCUUUGAUGUGUAUUUUUAUUUUGUUGAAGUUUACAACAGUUAACAUUAGGUGGAUAAACAAUAUGUUGAAUAUUUCUUAAGUUUUAUAUGUCACUUUAAUAUUCAAAGAUGUUAUAUUAAUGUUUAUUUACUGUUAUAUUAAGAUUUUUUAUGUUUAAUCUUUUAAACUCCAUUAUUUUCAUGGUUAGUUUAUGUAAAUGUUAGCAAUAUGUCCUUAUGAACUUCUGUUCUAUCCAGUUUUGCAUAUGUAUUUAUGUCUAAUGCAUAUGUAUUUAUGUAUUUUUACAGAAUUGCACAUAUAUUUUUGAACAACGCAUAGUUAUUGUGGACUGAAGCAGAAUGCCAUAUAGAUUUAUGAGUCAUAUGUAUUUAUGAAUAAUACACAUGUUCAUUCCAGUGUAUAUAUGUACUUUUAAUAACGCAUACGUCUUUUUUUACAAGUCUGAAAAUAUAAUUUUCCUGAUGUGUAUUCAUACUCUUCUAUAUAUGUUUUUGUCUGCAAUGCAUAUAUCAAUAAGUAAGUUUCUGUAUAUUUAUAAAUAAUGCAUAUGUAUUUUCUAAUUAUGCGUAUAUAUCCAUCAAUAAUACAUAUGUAUUUAUUACAAGAUGUCCAUAUAUUUUUGUCUACCUAAUACACAUACAAAAUAUGUACUUUUACAGAUUUGCAAUUGAGGUUUUGAACAAUGCAUAUUUAUGAUUAAUACAUAUAUGCAUUCCAGUUUGCAUUUGUAUUUAUAUCUAAUGUAAAUAUAUUUUUUCAAAAAUACGUAUGGUUUCUUGUUAUUACAUGCAGACGUAGUUUUAUACAUAAAACAUAUGUACUUUUUACUAACGAAAAAAUACCAGUAGUGUGUAAUUUUGAAAAAUGCAUCAUUUUCAGAAUCUAGUACACUAUAUGCCAAUGAAAAUAUAUGGCCUGCAUAUAAAAAAGUACACAUAAGAGUACAUGUUUUAUACACAUAAAAUAAUGCAUAUGUAUAUUAUAAAUACAUACAGCUAAAAAUAUAUGUAACUGUCAGUGAACACAUAAACAUAAUGCAUAUGUAUAAUAUAUAUACAUAUAGCUGGAGCCAUAUGUAACUGCCAGAAAAAAAACUGCAUAUGCAUAAUACAAAUACAUAGAGCUGGAAACAUAUGAAAUUGUCAGUGAACACAUAAAUAGACUGGAUAUGUAUAUUAUAAAUAUAUAUAGCUGAAAACAUAUAUAUCUGUUAAUUCAUACAUCUACAUCAAUGUGUGAAGCCAAUAGUAUGUAGAGUUGGUUAUAUGAAGCAUUUAUGCUCAACAAUAUCGCAUCACUGAUGUAAUCUUCAUAUUGUUGUUCAUAUGUCCAUCUACCAGACUAUUUAAUGAUAACAAGUAUGCUUCCCAUUUUUAAUGUCCGAAACACUACAAAUCUGUAAAUAUAACUUUGAUUAUCAAAUGCGUAUACACAAAAUUGAAAAACGAAUUCCAACAAAAAUAAAUCUUUUAUUCGAAUACUAUAUCCUUGUCUUAAAUUCAAAUUUAACGUAUAACAAUUGUGAUUUAGUUUCAUAAAUACAGAAGGAAAAGGACAACUUUGAAUUUAAAAAAAAAUCACUGUCAACAUUUGAUCUCAGAACUAAUAAAAUUCAAAAUACGAUCUCAACUUUUGAAAUAGAUGAAUGUUACGAAUGAAUUAUAAAAUUUUCAGGAUUUUUUGCAAUUAUAUUUUAUAAAAUUCACAAACACAAUCAAAUUUGAUUAUCGAUACCUGUAAUUGGAAUGUUGUAUUUUCACUAUCUUCAUCAAAAUUUUAGGCGACCAUCAAUAGUAUUGAAUGAACUAUGUUUUUUGAAUUUGAUUUGAGUUGUUGAUUAUGCAAAACGUUUUAUGAAUUUGAAUUUGACUUGGGUUGCUGAUUUGUAUUACCUUUUUUGAUUUAAAUCUACGUUUGUGGUAAAAAAAAAGUCAUAUAAGGUAAAGGAAUCUGAGUAAUUAAAUGUUGCUUGAAUUAAGGAACAGUUUCUUCCAUUUUAAACUCUAACUGAUUAGAGUUAUAUUAGGAAUGGAUUCUUUAUUUAUAUAUGUAUUUAUAUAGCAACAUUUUACUUAAAUACAUAAUACAACUUGCUAUUUUUCGUAAUUUUAAAACUGUUGCUAUAAAAGUUAUAAUUAAGGUUCUAUAAUUGCUAUUUUUGAAAUUUUCUAUUUUUUUUAAUUGGGUCAUUUCAUACCAGCCCAAACCCACCUCCCUUUUAAUUUUAAGUGUAAACAACAUAUAUCCCCUUGUUAAUGAAACUAAUUACACAAAAUCUCUUCUUGUUUUCUCUCUCCCAAUUUUUGCCAAGAUACUCAUAAAUUCGGUCUGCUAUUAUACAUUGGUCGAAUGUAUGAUGAAACAACUAAUCCUAAAUUUAAGGUAAGAAAAAUAAUAAAUUAUUUUACAGUUCCUUAAUUAACGACAAUAAUUAGCUAACAUUAACUCGUUUAUGGAUAAAACUAGUAACUGAUGUUUGAAUUUCAAAAAUUUUCUUAAACAUCAUUUUUUUUAAUGUUUUUCUAGGAAUCAUGAUCUGGAAAGUCACUAACAACCAAUAUCUUCUAGAUACGUUCUUAAAUACUACUAAAAUCAAUAUGAAUAUCCCCAUAUUGUUGCAACAUUCUGGAAUUUGGGAGUUAGAAAUUAGUUAUCAGUCAUACAAAAGUGACGCAAUAAUUAUUUCGAAAAGUAUAACUUUCUUGAAAUCGGUUGCUACGAUUGCCAAAGAAUUGGAUAUCGAUGAAGUACGUAAAAAAUUGAAGUUAAAUAUGUGGUUGAAGGAAAUUCUUCUCCAAUUGUCAUAAGAAACGAUAAUGGAGUGAGGGUUUAUGUUGAGUUGAAGAAACAAUUUUCUGAAUUGGUUAAUUUUUCACUUUAUAUUUUCACUUUCGACAAAUCCAAUAAGGAAAUAAAGUUUGAUAAAGAAACAGGUGAUGUAUUGUGUAUCAAUUUUAUUUUCUAAUCUUAUAAUCUAUGGUAAUAUGGUUUUAGAGGUUUUGAAGAAGUUUAUGUUCUAAAGUUGGGUUCUGUGUUGCUGGAGCUCAUAAAGGUAAGAAUGUAUAAUGUGUUAUUAUACAUUCAUGUCAAUGUUUAAUGAAACUAUGCUAGUCCAAGAAAUGUAUGGUAAUAUGGUUUUAGACAUUCUGAAGUAGUUUGUGUUUUAUAGUUGGAUUUUGUGUAGUUGAAUAAUUAAAUUAUGAAUGUAUAAUAUUUGAUUAUAUAUUCAGAAAAAUGUAUAAUGAAAACUGGGGCAGUGCCUGGAAUUGCAUUUUGUCUAUAUAUAUAUUUUUUUAAUACUUUUGUUUAAUACAUUGACUCAGUGUAAAAAAAUUAAAGCUAUGUACUGAAUUGUCAUAACAAAGACUGCAAGUGGUUCUUGAAGACGUCUUCUAUGAAUGAAUCGGAAAUGUGCCUAGCAAUAUGGCUAAUGGACUGCAAAUCUAGGCCUUCUGGUAACAUGGUCUCUAUAUGGCCAAGCCAAUUACCACAAACUAAUUUUACUCUUUCACCAGUUGCAUCAUCUACUAUCCAUCUAGAACUUGCUGAUAAUGGUAAACAAUGAGAAAAAGUUCCAAAAGAGCAAAGAAAAAUAAAUAUUAUGGUUAAUUUCACCAUGUUUUUAUCCGAAGAGUAUUAAAGAACAUAAGCUGAAGGUCUAUCAGAAAUAGCGAUUACACUUAUGAAAUAAAGUUGAUUAUGUUGAACGAAAAGAAUUGAUUGAUCUCGUAUAUUUAUAGUAGUAGUUAAUGUUGAUAUGAUCGGACAAAACAAAAUUUAUCUUAAAAAACUAAUCCUUAUCUGAUCUAUUGAGGAGAAUUCUGUUCGAAUUAUAAGUGGUAAUAGCUUAAAAGAAUUUGUAUCCUAUCAGGUUAUGUAAAAGACUAUACUUAAUUUAUCAUACGUAAAACUAGUUGAAACAAAAUGUAGGUAAUUUACUAUAACGUGAAAAGUUUGUAGUAUGUUUUGGGUCAAAUAUACACCAUCUCUUCAUUUGUAUCCAAUCACGUCACUUAAAAGAUAAAUUAUCCAUAAUUUACCAUAUUAUGUAAACUUGGUUGAAAAAUAAAAUAGAUGAUUUACUAUAACCUGUUAAAUUUGUAGUAUGGCUUGGUUCAUAAGAUACACAUUCUCUUUUAGAGUCUUAUUUAACAGAUAGAAGAUUGGUAUGGAAUAGUAAUAGAUAAGACUAUAAUCUAUAUUUGUAUAUCAUGUAGAUCGCUUCAAAUUGUGACCUAUUAUUUACUUAAUCGGCUUCAAGUUAAGUAAUGUUUUUGCUUCUCGAGAGUUAAUUAAAUAGAUAAGAUCAACUCAAUAUUACUAAAAUUAUUUAUUCAAAAAUUAUGUAAAAAAUAUAAUAAGUUGCAACUCUAUUCAUGUCAACAUAACAGCAUACUCAAUGCAAUUCUACAUAUGAGCUCCUAUCGAAAAAAUCUCUUGCACUCUACUAAACAUUGGCUGACACAAACUUGAACCAUUGAGUUUUAGAAUUAUCAAUACUUUUUUCAUCUAAGCCAGCACAUUUCCUAACCAAAACUUUAGAUGAAGAAUAAUAAGUAUCAUAAUCCAAACACAACUCCUUCCCAUUCUCAUCAAUAUAUGAAAGUUGAUAAUUUGAAGCAAGUUUCCAUGUAUUUGCUCAUUGCAAUCUAAAAAUAAUAGUUAAAACUGUAUGAGGGUAACUUAUACAUCUAAAAAUUUAAAUCAGGACCAUAAUUAAACAACAGAUACAAAUGUAUGAUGGUUAUUUAUACAUCUAAAAAUUUAUAUCAGACCCUAAAUAAACAACAAUUACACAUGCAUAAGGGUAACUUACACAUCUCAAAAUUAAUAUCAAACCUAAUUAAGCAACAGAUAUACAUGUAUGAGGGUAGCUUACACAUUUAAAAAGUAAACUGUUGUAAUGUAUAAUGUCACCUUAUACAAAAUUAAUACUUUAUAAUGGUUUGUUUUUUCAUAACUGUCAAUGUAUAACCUAUAGAAAUAUAUUUCAGAAUACCUACAUUAUGCAUUAGUGGGACGAAAUAGCUAAUGUAUAAUGUCUUAUUAUACAUAUGUCAACUUAUACAUAAACUCAUAAUCAAUAUCUUCAGAAGACGUGGUCGACCAGAAUUAUCAAACUUCUUCUUACUUGCCACUUUAGAACCUGACUUCUUCGAUCUAGAACUAGUUGCUUCCUUUAAUUUCUGCAUUAUUGCCAGUUCAUUUCGAUGCUUUGAAUGAUUCUCUGCAAAAUUGGGUUCUUCGCAAUCAAAUGUACCAGGAAUAAACCCAAUGGGAAUAUCUUGUUUUUGAGAAUCUAACUGACUAAGUCCUAAACUAAAGUUAGGACGAGAAUCCAUUACCAAUUUUACACUAUAUCGAUUAAGCAAAAGCAAGUUAUAUAAACCAAGAAAAUAAAAAAUCUAACUUAUAGUAUAUGAAGAAAAAUGAAAAAAUCAAACUACGAAAGUUAAUAUACUUGCAAAAUACAGUGAUUUCAUAGAAACAAACAUGCAUUCAGAGAAUAAACGAAACAAAUCCUAAAUUGGUAAUGUUUUAAAAAAAGUAAAUCAAUAAAAUCAAUUAAAGCUUCAAAACUUACAAAUUGAUAACCUCCAAGAAGAUUACUUGAAUUUUGACGUGAAAAAAGGGUUUUCAAAUAUGGAGAAAAAAUCGGGUGUAAUGGGAGCAGAUGGGGAGCAAAAUACGAAAGAAAAUAUAGUGUUUAGAUGUGUAAGGUUUAUGAGAGAGAAAGUAAUUAAAAAAAGAAUUUAUGUAAUUAGUUUGGAAUUUGUGUAAAUACUUUACCAAAUUGGUAUUUAAUGUAACAGUCUAGAAUACAUGCGUUGCACGUGUAUCAAGCAUUAAUUAAAAAUAAAUAUAUAUACAAAAUAAAUUCUCGUGUGUAAGUCAUUUUAUAAGUGUAUCAAGCGUUAAUUCAAAAUAAAUAUACAUACAAAAUAAAUUCUCGUGUGUAAGUCAGUAGGGGGUUUGGGCCACAGGUGACAAAAGAGUUUUAAAAUGAGGUGUAGGUGACACAAGUUCUAAUUAUUAGGUGGAGGUGACAAUUACUUUAUUAUGGAUUAAGAAAGUUGGAAAAGUUUGAAAAUAACCCACAAGUUUUUAAAUUUAUACUUUGAUCCAAAUGUUAGCCUAUAUAACGGAAAACGGAGGAAAAAAAGGUGCUUUUCUCUCUCUUCUCUCCCAUUGUUGUUUUCUCUCUUAGUGAUUUUUGUUGUUCAUUGUUGCUGCUGCUUCAUUCAUCAUCUUCUGCUUCAUUAUCAUCAUCUUCUACUUCAUUAUCAUCUUCAUCUUGUUCUUGUUGACCAUUUUUAGUUGAAUUUGUCAUCUGGAUAACUUCUAUUGUGUUGUUGUUUUCCAGCAAUGGAUAGAGCCCAAUCAUGAAUCCAAUAUAAAAUCCAUCUAUUUAAACAGAUAAAUCAUCUGUUGCGACAGAUGAGACAUCUGUUUCAAUGGAAGACUGAUAUGUUGGAUUCAUAUUUAAAUAGAUGGGUCAUUUGUUGCAAUAUUUAAUAUAUAUGUUGCAACAGAUUAGUUACCUGUUGCAAUAGAACCUAAACAUAAUUCCAACAUAGGUUACAACAGAUAAAUAACCUGUUGCAACAGGUAAGUCAUCUAUCGCAAUGGGUUAAAUAUCUGUUACAACUGUUACUCAUCUGUUGAAAUCAGCUUCAAAGGUUAUUUAGUUAUAACAUCAAUUCCAACAUGCAAUUCAUCUGUUGCAACAGAUAUUCAGACCCAUAACAUGAAUCCUAAUAGGUAAGCAUCUGUUGCAACUCAUCACUUAUCUGUUGCAACAGAUAACACAUCUAUUGGGAUUCAUUCAUAGCACUAUGAAAUCACUAUCAACCUAUUUUAACAAAUGACUUUAUUUAGGUACCACAAAUGGAGGGAUUAAUAACAAUAGGGGUGGAUUGUCAUGGUCAAUGGGUCGAGAAAAGCAAUCGAUAUGUAUGGCAUUGGAAGGAGGGUAAAAUGCUAGAGACGAUAGCUAUGACAGUCCAAAAUGAUAUUUUGUAUGAUGAUUUUAUGAACUUAAUCAUCAGCUUUUGUGGACUGAAUUAUCAACUGGAAGAAUUCGCCAUCAAUUACAUGCACAGCUCCUUUGAAAACCAGAGGGUACUGCCUUUCAAGAUAACCAAUCAGGUUUGGUUGCGUUCUUAUCUAAGUGAUUCAACCAGGCCGAUGUUAAGGGUGUACAUGGUUGAAAAGACGAGAGAGAAUGAGAACCAAAAUGUAGAAGAAGAAGAAAAAGAAGACUUCUUUGAUGAUAGGUUGGAUGAUCUUGACAUGAAUAUUCCAGAUGAUGAUCAAACACCUACGCCCGUUGAUGCGACCAAUACGAUGUGCAGUUCUUCUCAAUCAACACAAUCUGGAAAUCUUCAAGAUGAUAGGAUCGACUUUUUUUUAUUGGAAUGUCAUUCAAGGACAAGAAUGAACUAUCUAACACUUUGUUUAUUUCUUGCUUGAAAAAAGAUUUCAGAAUAAAGAAGGUGAUUAAUUCGAGCAGUGUCUUUUGCUUUAAAUGUGCUAAUUCGAACUGCAAGUGGUGGUUGAGAGCGGUGAAGUACGCAAAUUUUGAUAGAUUCGCCAUUCAUAAAUAUGAAAAGCAUCACACAUGUGGUUCGAAGCACAUCUCGGGCCAAAAUCCUCACGCAACGACAAAGGUCCUCUGUGAAUAUUUCAGGAGUGGUUUUCCCGAUGGAAAAGGCCCUUCAACAAGGCUUAUGGUCAAUCAACUCCUUACGGAUUUGGGUGUCCUGGUCAGUUAUUGAAAGGAAGGUAUAUACGGCCAUGGGGAUUGCCAAGGACCUGGUUCGAGGGAAACUCGAGCAUGGGUAUGAAGUCUUGGAUGCCUACCCUUACAUAAUUGAUUCCACAAAUUUCGAAAGAAAGACGACAUUCCAUCUGGAUAAAAACAGAAGGUUCAAGUACUUUUUUGUAUCCUAUGAUGCUUGGAUUCAAGGCUUUCGACAUAUGAGAAAAGGAAUAGCCGUCGACAGUACCUUCUUGAGGAGCAGGUAUAAUGGAGUUCUGCUAAUGGCGGUGGUGCAGGAUGCAGAGAAUCACAUCUUUCCUGUCGCUUUUUAUGUAGCGGACAAGGAAUGUGAUACCUCUUAUGGAUUUAUUUUUGAAAAACUAUGACACUGCGUCGAAGAUACUGAAGAGUUGUAUUUUGUACCGGAUAGGCAUCCAAGUAUUCCAAGGAUGGGUUCACUUUUAUUCACUUCAUAUUACUUUAGUUGUUGUAUCAGGCAUCUUAGAGAGAACAUUCAAAACAACGAUCACAACGAAAGGGUCAUCACCCCUUUUUAUAGAGCAGCUAAAGCAUAUAGUAGAGAGGAGUUUUUAGACCAUUUCAAUCAAAUAGCAGAUGUGAAUCCCAAGGUAGAAGAAUUCUUGUACAUUUUAGUUUUGAGAGAUGGAGUCGGGCAUUCUGUCUAUCAAAUAGGUACAUUCUUAUGAAUUUAAUGUCUUGUUUGAUUUACAAGUUUAGUUUGAUGUCGUACUAAGUGAUUCUUUUCUAUAGGUACAAUAUUAUGACAUCAAACAUAGCUGAAUCGGUGAAUUCAUUGUUUGGCGAUGAAAGAGAAUUUCCCAUCAAGGCUAUGUUUGAAAAAAUAAGCAAGAAAUAUAGAAAUUUUUUUAACGAAAGGCGUGUGCAGUUCAAGUACCCAGAAAAAAGAACCUGAUUUGUUCUUGAAAUUGAAAAUAAAAUAUCAACGAACAUUAGUUUGGGGAAUAGGUUAUUCUCUGAUAAAAUAGCAGAUUACAAAUUCUGUAUCACCGAUCAUGGUGAUACUGCCACGGUCGAUCUUCAAAUAAGAUCUGGUACGUGUAGAGUUUUUGACUUGGACAAAAUACCUUGUCCACAUGCUAUGGCAGCCCUUCUAGCUCAAUACGGCCAUAAAUAUGGACCUAAAGUUUAUGAUAACUUCUCUCAAUAUUAUUCAGUGGAAAAAUAUGAAAUGGCAUAUAGUGGGCAUAUUACUCCGGUGCCUCCCGAAGAAUCUUGGGUUAUUCCAGUAGAGCUUAUGGGGAGAUUAAUACCUUCUUCAUAAAUUGACCCAAGCACUAUCAAACCGGGAAGAAAUCCAUAUAAAAGGAGGAGUGGAGUUGGAGAAUCAUUUUCAUCAAGAAGAAACAAGUGCUCCAUAUGUAAGUGCGCUAGCCACAAAAGAACAACAUGCCCGAAUCAUAAUCCACCAUGAUCGUUGUAAUUGCAGAAACUUGUGUUGUUGCUUGUUUGUUUGUUUGUUGUGGACUUUUAUAUAUUUAACUCAUUAUUGUGAACCUAAUGUUAUCAUUUAUUAUAUAUAAAAUAUCUUUUUUAAAAAAAUGACUUCUGCAUCAAUAAAAUAAGGCAAAACAUGAACUAAAUAAUACAGCAGACCACGAUUAUUCUCAACAGUUGCACAAACAACUGGAAUAUUUUUCUCCAAUAGAUGAAAAUAAGUCAAAACAGAUAGAUAAUCAGUUAAAACCCAACAGAUGACCAAUCGGUUUCAACACAUGGUCUAUCUGUUGAAAGAAGUCAAAAGUCAAAAUUGCUAGUGCUACUGGAUUCAACAUUGCCUCCAACCGUUGACAUGUUAACAUUUAUUAGAUUAGAAGAAAUAGAUAGAAUGAAAAUUGAAUAACAAUUAAAACGCCAAAGUCUAACUAAAAGUAAAUGUUUCAUUAAAUGAAAAAUAAAUUACAUUAGGUAUAGAUCCGAUAUAGAAAAAUUUAAAUACAUACGCUAAAAGAAAAAACACAUUCUAUUUAUUAUUAUCAUCAUCAUCAUCAUUAAUGACAGUCAGCCAAUCGGCUCACAGCAGCAGGGCUCUCAUUAGCCUCUGCAUCUCUCUGAACAUUGUCGCUCUCACAGUGACCAACUCGCUCUGCUGGUCAUUAACCUAUCUUUGAAGUUCCCGUAUUGUGUCGCGUAGAAUAGUAAUGUUUGGAAAAGGAUCAGCCAUAUCUAGAACACGCAUGAAUUGACAAAUGUAAAGAAAAAUGUUCACAAUGUAAUACAACGUAUACAACCAACUGGUAAAUUUACACCAAAAAAAACUUACCUCAACGAGAAAGGAAUAUGCUCUUUGAAGAGAAGUGGUUGAAGAUGUCACACGAAAGGAAAAAAUGCAAGAAAUAAAUAGAGUUGAAUGAAGAUUAAGGAGGGAUCUAUAAUAUAAUCUGAAUGUGUUAGGCCAAAAAGCAGGACUGUUUAGCUCCAUUGUAUUAAUUAUAUUCAAACUGGUGGUAUUUUAUUUUCUAUGAAAAGUCGCAACUGUUUCUUUUACACUAAUUACUUCUCACCUUUUCAUAGCGGUUUGAGAAUCGAUAAAAGCUAUUAUUAUUGAGGUGUUACAAAAGAUCGUCCAAUAUUUUUAACAAAUUUAGCAUCUAUUGCAACAAAUGGAUGGAUUGAAUGUGCAACAGAUGGCUGUCAGAAUAGAUUUACCAUCCGUUGCAAUAGAUGGUUUAUAUAUGCAACAAAUAAGACAUCUGAUGUAACUUAUGUAUUAUCUGUUGCAAUAGAUGGACAAUAUGUAUAAGUUGGAGGAGAUGUUUUGAUAUCUUCUAACAGCUGAUUCAUCAGUUUCAGUUUCAACGGAUGGAGUAUUUGGUUCAUUAGCUGUUUUGAAUGCGGUAGAUAAAAAGUCUUCACCUCUUUUUAAUAGUCCUUCCGUUACGUAUAAGUUGGGCCCUAUGGGCUUGACACACCAAUUAAUAAAAAUAUAAAUUAGGUGAUUAUUUAACUAAAUUGGCCUUAUUAAUUAUGAUUAGAAAGUAUAAAUGUGAAUAAUAUACUUUAUGUAGUCAUUUAAUAAUAGGGGUAAUCUUGGAAGAAUAUAAUAAAAUUAUCUUGAUUUUAUAAAUAGAAAAACUAAAUUGAAACAAACAUUUUUAGAAAGAAGUAAUCACAUGCGUGUAGAUUAAUUAAAAAAAAGUUAGGUCUAUCACAACAGAUUUACCAUCUGUUGCAACAUAUAGACUAUCUGUUGCGACAAAUGGACCAUAUAUUGGAGGAGAUGUUUUGAUUUCUUCUAACAGCUGAUUCGUCCGUUGCAACAGAUGGAGAUUUUGAUUCAUCAGCUGUUUUGAAUGUGUUAAGAUAAAAAGUUACGACUCUUCACACCUCCAUUUUAAUAGACAUCACAUUCGUGCAGAUGAAUAAAUAACAUUGACAUGUCCUGAUGGGGUAGGAAGAAUAAGAUGCUUGCAAUGGAUCCCAUUUUCAUGCAUGCAAGUUACGUAUAUUAUUGAUCAAGCUACCGUGAAGACACACAUAAAGUGCAAUGAUUUUGUGAAUGUAAUUUUUUACCGAUUAGACACUGAUCCUUCAAACACGAUCCUGAAUUGUACAGUUUAGUUUGAUAGGUGCAAACUGAUGAGGCCGAAGGGUUCCAAGAUGGUGGUGUCGAUACCCUGUUACAAUUUAAUGACACGAUUCAUGCACAUGUUUUUGUGUCAAGUUUGGGGAAGGAUUCAAAUUUUUGCCGGCAGUGUAAAUAUCCAAUAGUGAUUGGACUGGUUUUAAUGGCACAAUGGACUUCUUGAAAGACCUCCGAAGCCUCGCAAUGCAGCAAACAAUGAUAGAACCAAUAGAAAUUCCCCUGGUCCAAAUUUAUAUGAAUGGAUUGGUGGAGGAGACUUUUUUACAGCAGAAGGUGCUUGGGAGAAUACCUAUGCACGAAGGGGGAGGUGGAGAAGGACAUAUAUCAUUUCAGACCUUGUUUAAGAGAAAACACAGGGUAGAAAGGAAAGUUUAGUGAAAUUGGCCAAUGAAAUUCACAUUAAAAACGAAAAAAAUGGAUGAGCUUCAAAUAUGGAAGUGUAUCAAAAUAUAAAAAUCCGUCAGUCGAUGAAAAAAAAAGAAGAAUGGUCAACAGGACUGGAGCUGGACAAAGCACUUUGCUUGAGAAUGCAACUAGAGAGCGUGGCCUCAAUGAAGACUCCAUAAAGUGCAGGAGAAGAGCUCCAAGGAAAAAGUUUUGCGAGCACGGAAGGUGGUAAGAUUGUCGGUCAAAAUUAAAACCUACAUGUCAAUUCAGAUCGACAAUCUUACCACCUUCCAUGCUCGCAAAGCUGAUUCCUUAGAGUUCAAGUCCUGCAUUUUGUGGGUCUUCGUUGAGGCCACGCUCGCUAGUUGCAGUCUCUAGCAAAGUGACCAGCUCAAUUUCUCUUGACCAUUGUUUUUUUUCUUCAACGACUGAUGGAUUUUCAUUUUUGGAUACACUUUCACAUUCGCAUCUCAUCCAAUUUUUCAUUUUUCAUGUCAAUUUCAUAAGCUAAUUUCACUACACUUUCCUUUCGACCCUGUGUAUCUUCUUAAAUAAGUAAUAAGAUGAUAUAUGGCCUUCUCAACCUCCCUCUUCCCGCAUAGGUUUUCUCCCAAACACCUUCUGUUGUAUAAUAGUCUCCUCCAAUAAUCCAUCUUUAUAAAUUUGGACCAGGGAAAUUUCUAUUAGAUCCAUCGUUGUUUUUUGCAGUGUGAGGCUUCGAAGGUCUUUCAACAAGUUCAUUGUGCCAUUAAAACUGGUCCAAUCACUAUUGGAUAUUUACACUACCGCCAAAAACUUGAGCCCUUCCCCAAACUUGACACAAAAACAUGAGCAUAAACUGUCAUUAAAUUGUAACGGGGUAUCGACACCACCGUCUUGCUCCCUUAGCCUUAACAGUUCGAACCUAACAAUUUUAAAUGUAAAAUGCCAUAUCUUGUUUGAAGAAUUAAUGCCUAAUAGGUAAAGAACAAACAUUCACAAAAUCAUUGUACUGGAUGUGUGUUUUUAUGAUAGGUUAUCAGUAAUACAUACCUCCCACAUAUGAAGUGGUUCCAUCUGCAAGCAGCUUAUUUCUCCGAAUCCAUCUCUACUCUAGCCUUUAAUACUGGCUGGGAAAAAGUGGAUCCAAUUUCACUUCCUUUUGUCUGCAAAUAAGAGAAAUACAUUUGAUGUCAAACAAGAGAAAAACAAAAAGAACAUUACAAAAGGGUAACAGAAAAUUGAGUGAAUCAAUAGAUAACCAAUAUGAUGCAAUAGAUUACCUAUCUGUUCAAUCGAUGAGGCAUCGUUUGCAAAGGAUGGAUGACAUGUUGCAAUAGAUAGGCCAUCUAUUGGAAUAAAUCAAACCAGCCUUGCUACUGGUUUGAUUUCUUCAAAAAGUUUCUCCGUAUAUUCCAACAGCUGAUUCAUCAGUUGCAACAAUUGAGGAAACUAUUACAACACCACCAACAACAACAUCAACAACAAAGAAACAAAAAAAACAACACCAUAUAUUCCAACACCAUCCAUAAUACAAAUAUCACAUAUUCCAACACAACCACCACCCCCAACAACAGCACCACCAAAGUACCAAACAAAAGACAUAAAAAAACUAUACUGAUAACAAGGCUUUUUAAGUUUUCCUAAUAGAUGACUUUUUUUGCAUAUUGUAAUAAAUACAAUGGUUCAUUCAUUCAAGACUUAAAAGCCACCUUUCCUUCAAUUUUCUCAAUAAAUAGCAAACUGGUAAUGGGUAAAUCAUUAAUAGCAACAUAUGUAAAUAUCUAAUUUAAAUGACAUACAAAGAAGAAGAUGUGAUGAAAAGAGCAACUUUGAACCAUACCUGUAAUUUCAAAAAAGCAAACGGAUCAAAACAUCCAGUUCAGUCGAGAAAAGAUAUUGAUUGGUUGAGAUCCCAAAGGAUCCUCAUCUGAAAAAAGAGAGAAAAGAGAGGGAAAAAGGAAAUAACAAAGAUAAUUGAGAAUAAAGAAUAAAGAAGAGUUAUGAGUUGAGUCUAGACUACUUUAUGGAUGAAGGAGAGAGAGUUCUAGAUAUGAGAGAUUUUAAAUAUUCAUUAAUAACUUUUGAGGGGCACGAGGAGAUGGUGACAUUGAAAAGACCAGAUAAAACUACUCACUCAGGAGAUUUUUGAGUUAUCCAAGUAGUACCGAGUAAUAUUUUUUACCUCCUUAGUAUUUUAACUAUUUUAUCUCGAAUAUGAAAUACCUAAAUUGCUUUAUAAAAAAAAGAUCUAAAAAUAUUUAAGUGCAUUAGAUGACUUAAUCUGUUUGAUAAUUUACAAUAGAUUUAUGAUCUGUCGCAAUAAAUGACAUAAUUUGUUUGAUAGUUUACAAUAGAUGAGUAAUAUGUUGUAACAUAUUACCUAAUCUAUUCGAUUUGAUCCAACAGAAAAGACAUCUGUUGUAACAGGUUGAACAUUUGUUUAUAUAUAAUUUCAAUUGAGUUCAUAUGUUAGACUAAAACCUUAAUUGAAUGUAAGUUCUCAUAGGGUCAAAUACAACUUUAAUUGAGUCUUUUGUCAAUUUUAUGAUGAGAUAGUACUGUGUUCCUCCGACCAAAUUCAUCGAUCGAUCACUCUGAGCUGAGCCGAUUCUUACUACCUCAUAUGUUAGACUAAUACCUUAAUUGAUUAAUCUAGGUCUAGGGUACUAAUACCUUGAUUGAAUAAUCUGGGACUAGGGGUGAGUUCUCAUAGGGUUAACUACAACUUCAAUUGAGUCUUUUGGCAAUUGUAUGAUGAGACAGUACUGCAUUCCUCCCGACUAGAGUCGUCGAUCGAUCACUCUGAGCUGAACUAAUUCUUACUACCUUAUAUGUUCAACUAAUACCUUAAUUGAUUAAUAUAGGACUAGGGUAUUAAUACCCUAAUUGAAUAUAGGGUCAACUACAACUUCAAUUGAGUCUUUUGUCAAUUGCAUAAUGAGACGGUACUGUGUUCCUCCCGACAAACAUUGUCGAUCGAUCACUCUGAGCUGAACUAAUUCUUACUACCUUAUAUGUUCAACUAAUACCUUAAUUGAUUGAUCUAUUACUAGGGGUGAGUUCUCAUAAUGUCAACUAUAAUAGAUGACAACGCCUAUUUGAUAAUUUACAACAGAUGGGUAAUCUAUUGAAAUAUAUGACUUAAUCUAUUUGAUAAUUUACAAUAGAUGGGUAAUCUAUUGCAAUAGAUGACUUAAUCUAUUUAAUAGUUUACAACAGAUUCGAGAUCUAUCACAACAAAUGGCUUAAUCUGUUUGAUAGUUUACAACAGAUGCGUAAUUUGUUGUAAUAAAUUACACAAUCUGUUUGAUUUGAUCCAACAGAAAAGACAUCUGUUGCAAUAGGUUGAACAUUUUUUUAUAUAUAAUUUAAUUGAGUUCAUAUGUUAGACUAAUACCUUAAUUUAAUGUGAGUUCUUAUAGGGUCAACUACAACUUUAAUUGAGUCUUUUGACAAUUGCAUGUUGAAAUGGUACUGCGUUCCUCCCGACCAGAGUCGACGAUCGAUCACUCUGAGCCAAACCAAUUCUUACUACCUCAUAUGUUAGACUAAUAUCUUAAUUGAUUAAUCUAGGACUAGGGUACUAAUACCUUAAUUGAAUAAUCUAGGACUAGAGAUGAGUUCUCAUAGGGUAAACUAUCGAUUAAUCUAGGACUAGGGGUGAGUUCUCAUAGCGUCAGCCACAACAGAUGGCAACGCCUAUUUGAUAAUUUACAAUAUAUGGGUAAUCUAUUAUGACAUAUAACAAUUCAUUUGAUAAUUUAUAAUAGAUGGGUAAUUGUCACAAUAGAUGACUUAAUCUAUUUGAUAAUUUACAUCAGAUUUGUAAUCUGUUGUUACCUAAUCUGAUUGAUAAUUUACAACAGAUGAGAAAUCUAACGCUACAUGUUGAACAUUUUUUUUUGCAAUUUCAAUUGAGUUCAUAUGUUAGACUAAUAGUAUCUAAAUUGAUUAAUCUAGGACCAGGGGUGAGUUUUCACAGGGUCACCUCCUAGAGUACUCGGUCAACUACAACUUCAAUUAUUUUUAUACAAUUUCAAUUGAAUUACCCUUUCAGUAAUUGCAUGAUGAGAGAGUUAAAAAUUUUGCAUAUAUUUUAUGAUUUUAAAAAUAAUUAAGAUCAUUUUGGACAAAAUUAACAUUUUCAAAACUAUUUGUCAUUCUUUUCCAAAAUACAAAUCAACCCAUACAAAUGUUUCAUCAUUUCAAAUCUCGAGGUCUGGCUCUUUCUCUCUCAUUCUCACUCAACAAUACAGUACAGACAACAACUACUCAAAAAAUUUGCUCAACCCUCCACAACAGAUCACUUUUCUUCUCAUUUUUGACCACAUAGGUGUUAUUUUUGACUUUAUUCUUUCUUGUAUCAGUCAUUUUCUUUACCUUCGUAGGCAAAAAAUUUUGAGAAGAGCUCUAUAUUUUUUUUUAAAAAAUAAGGGCUUUAAAGUUAAUGAUGAAAAAUAAAACUUUUAGUUGUAUUAUCUUUGAGAAUGGGUUUACAAUUUUGAGUUUUGAUGGUAAAAUCAUAGAAAGAACUCGAGAAAUCCCUAGUUUCCGUUGACUGUCAUGGUAUAGUUGGAUAGUGUUUGUGGUGUUGGUGGUGGUGGUGGCGGUGGUGUUUGUGGUCAUCGUGGUGGCAACGGUGGUGGCUUUGGUUGGUGGUGUUUGUGGUGGUGUCGGUAUUUGUGGUAUUUAUUUUUUGUUGGCAUUGGUUAGUGGUGUUUGUGGUGGUGGCUGUUGGUGUGUCGGUAUUUGUGGUAUUUGUAAUGUAUUUUUUAAAAUCUAUGCAUACAUCAACUGUAAUGUAAUUUUUGUUUUUCUUUGUCUAUAGAUAAAACAUAUCUCACAAAAGAAAAGAAAGUGAAAGUGGAUCAACGUCUGACCACUCAAAAAAAAGGCUAUAGUACAGAGGGAUUCGGAGGAGCUUCCUGAAUAAUCUCACUCAGGGAAAAGUGAAGCUGAGGAGAGAUGUGAAAAUAACAUUGAGAGAGGUGGACAAGGGUCCAUAGAUGGUGAUGAAGAAAAUAAAAAUGAGAAAGAGGAGGAAUUGGAGAGUCAGAAAAAAAAAAGGAUGAUUAUCAAUAUGAUGAUAAUGGAUCACCGAUGGGGUGUAAGUUAAUAUUGACAUCCCAGCAUGAUCCUUUUAAAACUUUUAGUAUUGACAGGUUUCAAGUUUCAAUGCUGAUAAAUGAUCCAGAAGGAAAACAACUAACUGGUCAAAUUGUACUUAAAUGUCAGAUGGGGAAUUUUUUUGAAUAUUUUAUGAAAAUUAUGAAGAAUGAAAACAUAGGUGGACUUUUUAAGAAGAUCUGCUUUGGACGCUUUCUUAAGGUGCCUGAGGAACCCUCUGCCCGUAUCCAUUUCCCUAUUACGAUGGUAUAUGGUUUUUUCAAGAAUAGAAUUAAGUACGUGGGGGAUGAUAAAGAUCUGGAGGAGGGGGGAAAAAGAAGAUGGAUGAAAUCUGGAUCACCUACUGUGGCAUGCCUGUUUGUUUUGGCUUGCAAGAGUUUGCCAUAGUGACAGGAUUGAGAUGCCAUCGUCCAGAAGGACCACCACCCCACAAAAUAUCCAAGGCAAGAAAAUACAAGGAAAAAAUAGAUGGGUUGUUUGACAUUGCUCGACAUGGCUACAAAGCAUCGGAUUUGUUGAUAGAUCUCGAGGAUAAAACCAUACCAGAGCAGUACAACGAGCAAUUGUACUUAGUUUGGUUUUCCCAUUCGGUUAUAUUAGCAAGAGACGUCAACAAGGUCAUAGAAGAUUAUUUGUUGGCGUGUGCUGAGGAUUUUGAUAAAUUUAACAAUUAUCCCUGGGGAUAUGACAGCUUCUACUUGACUGUCCAAUAUUUACUGACAAAGCUAUCCUCAGGGAUGACCACAUUAUACGACUUUCCUUGGGCUUUCAUGGUAAAAUUAAUCACUAAUUUUACUCAUCCAUUAAUUUAUAUUGAAUAUAGUUAUUAUGAUUUUUUUGCUUGCUUUCUGUUUAUAUUUUUUAGGCUUGGGCAUUUGAAGCCAUUUCUCCCCUCCUAAAGUAGUUAAUGGAUUACCCGAAUGAGGUUUCUCAUCUAAGGAUGUUUAGGUGGUUGUCUGCAAAGAACAACACCAAUAUUAAAGAGGCUUAUCUCUUUAACCCUCCGAAUGAUGCAGUACGUCUUUUUCAAGUAAAAUAAUUCUACUCAAAGAUAAGAAAGAUAUUAAACAGAUGUUAUAUCUGGUGCAACAGAUGUUAUAUCUGAUGCACCAGAUGGGACAUCUAUUGUGAUGGGAUAUAUCUUGCAUCAAAUUACCCAUCUGUUAUUUUGGUUCUCUGAACUCGACUCCUAAAAGAUUAACCAUCUACUGCAAAUUAUUCAAAAGAUGUGUAAUCUGAUAACAUAUCGUUCAUCUGUUGCAAUGUACAGAUCAUCUAUUGCAUAAUAGAUUACUCAUCUGGUGUAGCUGUUGCAAUAAAUGAUUGAUAUUUUGCAUCAGAUUAUCCAUGUAUUGCUCUGUUUCUCUGAACCAGACUCAAAUGGAUUUUAUCCAUAUACUGCAAACUAUGCAACAGAUGUGUCUUUUUUAAAAAAAAAUGUAGCCCAACUAUGAAAAUUAUUAUAUUAUAUUAUUUAAAUGCAUCUGUUUUUUUUUCUUUUUUUUAGGUUGUGCAUCCAUGGAUCAUGCCUACUGAGGAGAAUUCGGUGACGACUUCUUAUAUUACUCUAGGUCAUGUUGAUACUAUUGCAGACCCAACAGUGGAGCUAAUAAAGAAGAAAUUGGCUGGAGGAAUAACCAUAAGAAGAGUAUUUAGGCAAGGUCAGCCUAAUGUUGAGGCUCUUCAUGACCAAACUUUUACUAAGGCAGAUCCGGGUGCUUCUUCUGGUGGAGUUGUUGGUGUUGGUGGCAAACAUACUGAUGCUGCUACCACUCGUGAUAAUAAGGAUGUUGAUGCUCAAAAAAUAAUAAAUAUAUUUGAAAACACCCUUUUUUGCCCUUACAUAAGUCCCUCUCACCCCUCUUCACCCUCGUGUUCUCAUUGCGAAUGCGAUGAGUCCAAGGACAAAUAGGUUAAACUCUUUGAAAAAGUAGACGCUAUGUCUAAAUCUAUUGAGGAAUUCAAAUCAAAUAGGUGUGCCAUACCAUCCAAGAAGGUGAGGGAGCCACACACUCCUACAGCGUUGGUUAGGAGAAUGAAAAGAGCAAUUAGAGACGUACACUCUGCUCAAAAAUCAAAAGAAAUUGUAAUUCCUCCCUCUCCAAAAGCUGUUGAAGUUCAGGGGCCAGUCAAGAAGGUGGACAUAUACACGGAACUUGGUGUCGAGGAGAAGAGGGAUCUGCUAUAGGCCAAAAAUACCAAUACAGGUGCACCAGAUUACCCCAGGCCUCUCUUUUUCUCCCAAGACUUCCAGACUAUGACUGAUAUGCUUAUGCCGUACGAGGACAAGGAAAGUUUAUUUUUCCUAACCUAGCCCUUCUAAUAUACCCCAUGAAAAAAAAGCUAUGCAACAGAUUUCACAUCUGUUGCAACAGCUGGGUAUACUAGUGCAACUGGUUGUGGUUCUAUUGCAACUUAUUAUCCAUCUGUUCCAUAAGUUACGUUGGAUUAUUGAUUCAGAGAACCCUAUGCAACAGACGGACCAUCAUUUACAUCUUUACAAUUACUAACCUAUUUAAAAAUUGACUUCUUAUCUCACAGCAUGUUGACAUAAUUUUCUGCCUCAUGAGGAAAAGGUAAUUAACGUACCAGAAAGCUUAUAAUGUUGCCGAUAGAAUAAUGGACCUUGACUUUUGUAAGAAGCUCAAGUAUAGGUACGAUCAACUCAAUGGAGAGGCUUCAGCCCUUGGCGUGAGACUUGAUUUCCUAGUUCCUACAUUGGUCUUGGAUUAAGAAGAAACGUUAAGAUAUGUUAGAGGGACAAGCUAAAUCCACACGGCAAGAGCUGGACCAAGGGAAAAAGGAUUCUUGUAGUCACUAGCGUGAAUGGCAUGCAUUAUUAGGCUAUUGAGAUACUACUCGGGAGGGAAAAAUCAAUGUUUAUGACUCUAACAUACCUCUCAUCGAUGAUUUUGAUCUUUUUCUCCUCGUGGAGUCACUGAUGGUGCUGUUGCCCAUCUUGUUGAGGGAGAGUAAACUGAUGAAUCAUUUUCCAAAGAAAGUGUUGAUAAAGAAAUCAUGGGAUUUUGAAGGUCGAAAUAGGGGAAUGAUCCUUCCAAAAGAUGAUGCCACUAAAGCGAGCAGCUCGCAUGCUCUUGCACAUAUCGAAUGUUUGCUGACCGGCACAUAAAUCGCCGAGCCAAUGACUUUUCUGUGCGACAACAUUUUGAAAAACCUGCAAGAGGUCUGGGCUUAUGGGGUACUAACUAGAAGCUUGAAGCCUCUGUAUAUAGAAGAGCCUGUGAAAUAGAAAUUUUUAAUUUCAAGUCAUCCUUCACUUUAUUACAUGUACAUGUAGUGACAAUAAUUUUUUCUGAUGAAAUUUGAAUUUUUUAUAAUGCAAUAGAUUAGAUUGUCAAUCUGGUGUAAAAUAUCUUUAAUCCGUUCUGGCAGAUAGUUUAUCUGUUGCAAUAGGUUGGUCAUCUGUUGCAUUAUGCCGAUGUUAUUUCUAUAAAUAAUCUAAUAAUCUAAGUCUAAUCUGUUGCAACAGUGGAAAGACCUGUUUGAUAAUUUCCAACAGAUGACCUAAAUUUUUCAACAUAUGCAUAAAUCUUUUUGAUAUUUUCCAACAGUUAUGCUUGAAUAUCCAUGUGCUUGUCGACAACAAACCAGUAGCAAAUACACACACCACCAUGAAAAUUUCAGCAAUUAGGUUUCAAUAUCUAUGUGCCCAACAAUACCAAACCAGUAGCAAUAACGGAAACAAUGUAAUAUCUUCUUGCUCAAUUUUGUUUCUCUUCAGAAGCCUUGACUUAGUUCAACAAACCCCAAAUUACAAGAUUUGCUUGUGAAGGGUUUCGUUCUUCAUACCAAUCAAAGUAAUCGCAUCCACCCAAUUUCUAUAAAAAAGAGAACACAAUUACAAAACAAUUACAAGUCAAUAAUUAAUCAACUAAUUAAAUAAAAAAAUAUUACCUUUGAAAUCUUACAAGUAAAAAAACUACGAGCCGAAUUUUGUUGAAUCCAAGAAGUCUUUAAUAGAGCUUCAUGACCGCACUUACAAUAUAAAAAAUCUCUAUCAAAAAAAAUAGUGGAAGAUGCGCUUGACAUUUUCAAAGUCAAUUGGAAAAAGUAAAAGUAAUAAUUUAAAGAAUUUAGAUAGAUAAAAGAAGAUGACGAUGAAGAAAAAGAUUUGGGAAUUUAGGGUUAAAUUUUAGGAGGAAGAUGAAUAUAUAAGACAAUAGGAGGAAAAAAUAAUCGUUGGGGGCUAAGUGACGGCAAGUCAGCGAAAUGUGCCAGACUGACACUGACACAUUUGAUGCCUAUUUUAUUUUACGUGUUUAAAAUGAACAUAUUUACUUGAUGCCUAUUUUAUUUUAGGUGUUUGAACUGAACACCGUUGAUGGGUUGCGCCUUUUUUAUUCCAAUUCAAUUCACUUUAACCUUUUUACACGUAGUGGCAAUUUUUUAUGUCCAAUAAAAGUUGAAUUUUUAUAAUGCAGCAGAUUCUCUAUCCGUUGUAACAGUUAUCCUACCUGUUCUGACAUAUAGUUUAUCUGUUGCAAUAGGUUGGUCAUUUGUUGCAUUAUGUCAAUGUCUUUAUCUAAAGUCCAUGUGUUGCAAUAGUGGGAAGACCUGUUUGAUAAAUUCCAACAAAUAACCUACCUGUUGCAACAUAUGUAUAAAUCUGUUCGAUUAUUCCGAUAGAUGUGUCGUCUGUUGUAGCAGAUAAAGUCCAUCUGUUGCAACAUAUGUCUAAAUCAAUUCUUUUUUUUCUAAUAGAUGUGUCAUAUGUUGCAUUAUCUCGAUGUUUUUAUCUAAAGUGCAUCAAAUAGCAAUAGUGGGAAGACCUGUUUGAUAAAUGGCAACAGAUCACCUAUUUGUUGCAACAUAUGUCUAAACUUGUUCAAUUUUUCCAAUAGAUGUAUCAUCUGUUGAAACAGAUACAUUAUUUGUUGCAAUAUUUGAAUCUAGUAUUCAUUUUCAAUUAAUAAGUUCAAAUCUAAGGAAUAAAUAAAAUUCAUAGACAAAAUAAAAUAAUCAAAGCCUUCAUAAAUUAGCUGAAAUAAGUCAACGAAUAAAUGAAAUGUAAAAAAAUUGUUAUGGUUACAGAUCUCAACAAAUACAUCAACAACAAUUUAAGUAUACUACCAAAGAUUGAUUUGAAAGGCUCAAGUUAUAAAGAUCUACUCAGUAUGGAUAAGUUGUUCUUCAUCCGGUGCUAUGGAAUUUUGCUUUGCUCAUCGUGGAUCUUUAUUGUCGCUUGCAUACGGUUUCUGCGCUUUCUGUUCUAUGUAUUUCCAUAAAAAGAGUAGCAUAUUGUCAAUGUUAUUUAGCAGUAGCUUCUUCUACAUCCACCCGAAAAGCCAGAAUUGGUCAAUGUUAAUCACGGAGAUACAACAAAAUGGAAAAGAAUAACUCAUCUCUUCUAGCAAAUAAAAUAGGCCUUUCUCUCAUUUUAAAUUGUCCCAAACAUAUUAUAUUUCUGUUGCAACAAUAAGUCAACUGUUAGGAUAAAUUUCUACAUAAGAAAGACCCUAUGUGAUAAUUUCCAAUGGAUGAACCAUCUAUUGCAACAUAUGAAUCAUCUGUUGUAAUAGAUAGGUCGUUUGUUGGUACAAAUAAAAGUGGUACGAAGAGCUGUUUGAUUUGCUAAAUUAGUCAAGUCAUAUGUUGCACUAGAUAAAGUAUCUGGUGCAAUAGGUUAGUCAACUGUUGCAACAGAUGUAUAUAUUUGUUUGAUAAUUUUCAGCAGAUGUGUCAUCUAUUGAAACAGAUAUGUGUCUAUUUAUUUUGUCAGUUGGAAGAUAUAUAAUAUAUUCACCUUCUUCAGCUCGUGCUACUCUCCUUUGGACAUUGUACAUUGCUCAGUGCAACACACAGACAAAGGAGUUGCAAUUUCACUUUUUUGGAUGCCUAAUAAUGCCCUGGAAAUCACUUUCCUUCUCUUCUUGGCCCUAAUCUCUAAUGGAGUAUAUGGAAAUAAAAUCCUCUUUGAUGGAAUGAGACCCCUCUUAGAUGUCAAUUCCUUUACAAAAGUACUUAAUGCAUUAAUAGUAUUAAUCACUACAUCAUGUUUCGCCCUGCAGUCUUGACAUUUGCAUGCAGAACUUUCGCUGGGAGAAGCAAAAUCUGUAUAACCAGUAUGAUCAUACUCAUAAUGGUUUGCUUAAAAUACUAUAAGAGGAGCAUCAUUAUCACCAACAGCAGCACCAAUACCACCACUAAUAGCUCUAUCAACAACAACAAGCCCACCCUCCAAAAUUAUUUUUCUUAUAAUGGUUGUUGCUCUAAAUAAUUCCAUUUUUAUUCUGUCGAUGACCUUAGGGUCCAAUAAAGUUUGCACAGACCUUAAAGUAAGAAAAAAUGGCAUCUUCAACUCUAGAUUGGUCAGAACUAGCGAAGGAUGCACAUUUUAACAUAAAUCAUUACAUAUAUUAGAAUGAUGAUUAGAUCAUUAAAAAAAAUAUUAAUUAAAAGAAAAAAUUAAUUAUAAUUAUACUUACUGCAUCCUUUGGAGGGUUAAGAGACAAGAAAUUUUGCAUUUUUAUCAGUUUUGGCCGACAACCAUCUCAAGAUUCUUGGACAGGAAACUCCUUCCUGGUAGUUCACUUGUUGUCUCAAAUAAGGAAUGGCUUCAAACGCCCAAGCCUAUAAAAUAAUGCCAAUAAAUCAAAACCAUUAUUGAGCAAAAAAAUAAAUGAUAUCAUAAUAGAAGAAAGAAAUAUUUACCAUGAAAGCCCAUGGGAAGCCAUAUAAGUUGACUGUCUUUGGCGCUAACGGAGUCAAUAAAUAUUUAACAGUUAUUUUAAGGCUUUCAUACCCCCAUGGAUAGCUGUUAAAUGCCUCAAGAUCCUUGGAGAGCUUUAUUAAACAGAGGCUUAUGUUGUUGUUAACGUCUCUCGCCCAAAGAACAUUAUGUACAAACCAAACCAAGCAUAAUGAUUACUUGUGCUUCUUUGAAAGUCCUUUACCUUUCAAUACUUCUAUCAAAUUUUUAUUUUUAAAGCUUGGACCAAUAAUGGACGCCAGGUCAUCACGAUCACAUGACUUGUCUUUGCCCUUUUUAGGUGUGUGGGGUGCUUUUUUUGGGUUAGAAUAGAUAUAACUUGAGAAGGAGGAUAACAUUUUAGUCCAGUAACUAUGACAAACUCCUUCUAACCAAAACAAACAGGCAUUCCACAGUAAUAUCCACACCUCAUCCAUCUUAUCUUUGUUUUCAUACAUAAAACUACGCUUGAGAAGUUCAUAUACCAUUUUUUUUGGAAACGAGCAUUGUUGUCCUCCGGCAAAUCAAGAUAUUUCCCAAAGCAGCUGUCCCUUAAAUAAGCAUCCAAUUUUUGUUCUCGAAGUAUUUUUCUGAAGGAGUCGAAAGAUUUUCCCAUGGCUGACUUAACUACGAAAUCACCCGUUAAAUCUGCGGCACCAUCGCACUGUAUUCUCACAGGAUAACGAUCAUUACUGAAGUCUUUGACCAGCUCUUUGGUGGAAGGGCUAUUAGUAGCUGAAUCAUCUCUUUGGAAAUAUUCCUCCUCCCCGUGUUCAUCAUAUUCUGCUCCCGAUUGAGAUAACGCUUGUAAAGCGAGCUCAUAAAGUUGUGGAUGAAGCCUAGCUGCUUCACUUGUUCCUUUAUUUGGACUUGAUUCGGUUUCUAUUAUUUUGGGAACCAUAUUAUCUAAAAUUAAUAGGAACCUAAAAUAAUAUAUUAUUGUUGAUUAAUACACCGUUAAAAAAGGAUAACAGUAAAUUAAACAAGCAAAACAGUAAAAUAACAGUUGCAACAGAUCUCCAAUCUGUUACACCAGGUAGUAUAUUUGUUGCAGCAUAUAACCAAACUGUUGCAAUGGAUGAGUAAUUUGUUACAACAAUACAAAACAUAUCACUCAUCUUUUAAGACAGAUGAAUGGUCUGUUCAACAGAUCACACAACUGUUGUGACAUCAUCUGUUGUAAUAUAUGAGUGAUCUAUUGGAAUAGUUAAAUAAUUUGUAGCAACGGCUGAGUAAUCUAUUACGACAAUACAAAACAUAUCACUCAUUUAUUGAGAAAGAUGAAUGGUCUGUGCAACAGGUCACACAUCUGUUACAAUACAUGAGUGAUCUAUUGGAACAGUUAUCAAUGGUCAAUAUUGUUUAGAUUUCUUCCAACAUAGGGUCAUCUAUCACGACAGAUGAAUGAUCAGUUGGAAAAAUCAAGUCUUGAACUUUUCCUGUAGGAAGAGUUGGUAGGAUUUUAUCCAACAGGAGGUUCAUCUAUUGCAUCAAAUCAUUAAUCUGAUGGUUCUUCCAUUGCACUAAAUGGUUAAUUAGUUGCAUCAGAUUUUUUAUCCGAUGUUUAAUUUAUUGCAAUAUAUGGUAAAGUUGUUGUAUCAGAUUAUUAAUAUAUUGCAUCAAAAUUGUAAUUUGAUGGUUCCUCCGGUGCAUCAGAUGGUUGAUCUAUUGCAUCAUAUGAUAAAUCUGUUGCAUCAAAUAGUUAAUAUGUUUCACCAGAUGGGUAAUCUGUCGGAGGAAACAGUAGCAUGAUUUUGUUAAACAAAAAACAUCAAUUUCACCUUUUUUCACCAAGAACAAGAAUAGAACAAAUCAAACCAAAUUGUCCUGUUUUUUAUAAACACAAACAAUAAAAAUAAAACUUCAAAAAAAUGCAAUAAAUAACAAAAUAUUAUAAGUCACUUAAAAAAGAGAACAGAAGAAAUACCAAAAAUUAGGGUUUUAUUCAGACCGCAUUUCAAAUUAGUGCAACAAAUAUUGAAAUUGUUAACCAAUACUAUAAGAGAAGUUGGCUCAAGCUUCUCAUUUUCUUCAAAACUAAAAAGGCCAUAAAUUUUUACCUGUGAAAAAAGAAAAGGAACGAUGAAGAAUCAAAGCUGUUGUGGCCAGAAAUCAAGGCUGCAUGUGAUUAAAGUUGAAAAGGAACUCGAAGCCCAACUAUUUGUAGUCAGAUGUUGAAGUCGCCGAGGAUUGAAAUGAGAAAUUUGCAGAAUAGUUGGUUGGGAGAGAGUUGAGAGAAGCUUUUGAGAGAGGGAUGAGAGACAGGUUAAUUGAAUUAAAGAGAGGAACUCGAAGCCCAACUAUUUAUCGUCGGAGGUAGAAGUUCUCGGGGGUUGAAGGGAGAAAUUUUGCAGAACUGUUGGUUGGGAGAGCUUUUUUCACCAAGAACAAGAAUAGAACAAAUCAAACCAAAUUGUCCUGUUUUUUAUAAACACAAACAAUAAAAAUAAAACUUCAAAAAAAUGCAAUAAAUAACAAAAUAUUAUAAGUCACUUAAAAAAGAGAACAGAAGAAAUACCAAAAAUUAGGGUUUUAUUCAGACCGCAUUUCAAAUUAGUGCAACAAAUAUUGAAAUUGUUAACCAAUACUAUAAGAGAAGUUGGCUCAAGCUUCUCAUUUUCUUCAAAACUAAAAAGGCCAUAAAUUUUUACCUGUGAAAAAAGAAAAGGAACGAUGAAGAAUCAAAGCUGUUGUGGCCAGAAAUCAAGGCUGCAUGUGAUUAAAGUUGAAAAGGAACUCGAAGCCCAACUAUUUGUAGUCAGAUGUUGAAGUCGCCGAGGAUUGAAAUGAGAAAUUUGCAGAAUAGUUGGUUGGGAGAGAGUUGAGAGAAGCUUUUGAGAGAGGGAUGAGAGACAGGUUAAUUGAAUUAAAGAGAGGAACUCGAAGCCCAACUAUUUAUCGUCGGAGGGAGAAGUUCUCGGGGGUUGAAGGGAGAAAUUUUGCAGAACUAUUGAUUGGGAGAGAGUUGAGAAAAGUUUUCAAGAGAGGGGAGAGUGGUUGAUUUGGAUUGAAGAGGGGUGUGAGUUGGAUUGAUUUGUAUUUUUGAAAAGAUUAGAAAGUUUUGAAAAUAUUAAUCAAGUCCACAAUUAACUUAAUCAAGUUUCCUAAUGAUGUUUAACCUUAUUUGUUGGUCAAUAUCACCAAUCUUUCAUUCAAGACUUAAAAAACACCUUUCCUUCAAUUUUCUCAAGUCAAUAAGUCAUUUUAUUAAGUACAAAAUUUUUUUAAAAAUAAUGUGAAAUUUUGAAGAUAAAAAAAUUAGUUAAAUUAAAGAAGAACUUAGUCAUUUCAUUAUAUUUCUUUCCUACUUCUAGAAGCACUUUAUUUUAUGAAGUGUUAUUUUUAUUCUCGAAAUUCUAUAUUUUUAUCAAAAUUGAGGGAAGUUUAGAUAUAAAUUAUUAGUAUGUUAGGGGUGCUUGGUCAAAAUUAAACAAACAAAUUAAAAUGGAGAUAAUAUGAUCUUUUAAAAUUGUCUGAAAAUUUUUUACUGUGUCUUUUAGGGUAUUAUAGUUCUACUAAUUAAUAUGGAUAAGUCAACUACCUUUGAUGUCUCUAUGGUGAAUGACUUGAAUAAAAAAACGAAUAAAUUACAGUUGAAGUCGCAAUAUAUGAAAUAUUAAAUUCAUGAUUUAAAUGACAAAAGUAUAUGUUUUUUUAAUGUUAGUAUAUGUGUGUUGCAUCAAUUAAUUAGCACCUCCUAUAUAAAUAUAAAAAUCAUCUCNNNNNNNNNNNNNNNNNNNNNNNNNNNNNNNNNNNNNNNNNNNNNNNNNNNNGUUUAGAUAUAAAUUAUUAGUAUGUUAGGGGUGCUUGGUCAAAAUUAAACAAACAAAUUAAAAUGGAGAUAAUAUGAUCUUUUAAAAUUGUCUGAAAAUUUUUUACUGUGUCUUUUAGGGUAUUAUAGUUCUACUAAUUAAUAUGGAUAAGUCAACUACCUUUGAUGUCUCUAUGGUGAAUGACUUGAAUAAAAAAACGAAUAAAUUACAGUUGAAGUCGCAAUAUAUGAAAUAUUAAAUUCAUGAUAAAUUCAUGAUUUAAAUGACAAAAGUAUAUGUUUUUUUAAUGUUAGUAUAUGUGUGUUGCAUCAAUUAAUUAGCACCUCCUAUAUAAAUAUAAAAAUCAUCUCACAAAACUUCAUUAAAAAAAACUAUAAUUAAUUAAUAGUAUAUUUUUUAUAUAAUUUUUGAAAUUUUAGACAGCCAUCACUAGGAUAUUAUAAUGAGAAAUAAGGAUGAACUGUGGCUAACUUUAGACUUGAAAAACUUUCAUGCAAAGCAAAGAAAGAAAUCCAAAAGCAUAAUAGUUCCAUUCAAUUUUCUAAGAUUUAAAUAUUCUUUAAUUAUUAUUUUCAAGUUUGUCUUUGCGUGCUAUUUCCUAUGAAUUACAUUCUAUCUUUGGUGGAUUAACAAUAAAUAUAAAGUACCUACUGGCCUACCUCAAUUCAAACUUUUUUAUCAAAGAAUUUUCACAUUAUAAUUGAUUUAGUUUGGCCUAUCUUGAUUGUCUCCAAUUAUAAUUGAAUACUCAUACAUCACUAAUAAACUAUAACAAAAUAACGCAUAAUCGAGACAUGAGAUAUCAUAAUAAUAGCAUUAAACAUAAACUUUAGGCAAAAAUUCGAUCGAAAAUUCAUCUAUCGCAUGUAUUAAGCAAAAUAAAUAAUAUAUAAUAAUAGAAGAAAAACUACAACAAAAUAAUACAAUAAUCGAAGUAUAAAAAUAAUAAGACUAAACCUAACUGCCACAGAGCCCAACCAAAUAUUCAUCUAUCACCUGAACUACAAUAAAACAAUAUAAAUAAUUGAAAUAUCAGCACAAUUACUCUUCUAAAACUCAGCACAUAAAAUUUACAUGCAGAAACUAAUAGUUAACAAUGCAUAUAUAUGUUCACAGAGAUACACCUACUACAUAAUUAAAAUAGAUCAACUAAACUAAACAUUCAACAGAAAGCAAAGGAUGGGAGAUUGACAAUAUAAAGUCACUAUAGUUUUGCAUUUGCACACAUAUGAAUCAUCCAAACAAUAAUAAUGUUAAUAGUAGUAGUAAUAUAGAACAAAAGACAAACACAAUGCUAGCUUAACUAUCUAAUAAACCUUUACCCAAAUCUGAUUAAAGUACUCUAUAACCUUCUAUCUAAGGACAUAUUCAGUAAGAUGGAUCAACAUCAUGUCAGUUCGAUAUAACAUGACAAAUCUAAUCACUAUUUGGUCACCUUCAACAUUCAGAAAUAAAAAAAAUCCUACAGAAAAAAGUAUGUAACUUUCAAAAUAGACCUUUAUAAUCACAUUUUCAUGCAAGUAUUACAAUGCGUAGGCAAGACAAAAAAAAGGAAAGGCCAAUGUACUGAAGCUACCACUAUGUGCAGUGUUCGAAAAAGAAUCCCACCACAAGGGUGUAUUGUACACAACCUUACCUUACAUUCGUGCCGGAGUUUGUUUUCAAGGCUUAAAUUCAUGACCUUUUUGUCACAUGGCAACAACUUUUCCAGUUACUCCAAGACCCCCCCUCAGGCAAGACAAAAUCACUAAGAAAAAAAACGGUGUUAUAAGAAGAUAAAAACAUAAAUAAUGGUUACCUGAAUUUAGAGAAAAACCUUUAUUGAUAAAGAACCCAUGAUGCUUCUAUGUAUAAACAAAGCACUGAAAAUAAAAUUGAUAAUUUGAGGGAAAAAACAAAGUAUUCAAUUAUAUUAUCAGACGAAGAACCAAAAAAACAUAGAUCUUCGUGAACUAAAAUUUUUCAGACAUGCUUUGAAAAUAUUUAGCCCUAAUACGCUAGUUAAAUAGGUUUGAUUAAACCCAGUAAUAACUCAAUUUGAAAGAAUACUAAACUUCUCAACAAAAAAAAAACUUGGAUCAAUUGAAUUCAUCAAAACCAAAACUCACCAACGAUCAACUUCAACUAACAAAAGAAAUUUCUUUGUUAAAAAUAAAUCUUUGCUUAUGAUGACAAAAAGUCGAAGUGAAGGGGGGUUUAAGAAAUAAUAGUGCGCUUUGACAUGAAAUCAGUUACAAAGGUGGAGAUCUUUUUACUAUUCUCGAUAUGUACUCCAUAAAAAUCUUAAAUCUAAUAUUCAAGGAAAUUAAAUUGAUACAUAACUCUCUAAGUAGGUGGCGGUUUACCUCAAUUUUUCUUUAUCCGAUGAUCUUUAUUUUAGAAUUGAUUUAAUUUGACCUGUCUUGAUUGAACCCAAGUUCAAUGGAACAUUCAUAUAGUUUUAUCAAGCUAUUAGUUUGAGUGUUGAAUUUAUUAAAGCUUUUAUCUUUUAAAUUUUCUUUUCUAACUCGGUUUAUAAGGAAAAAGCCAAAAAAUAUAAAUUUUUGAUCAUACACACACCAUCUUAUAAUAGACCAUAAUUAUAUGUAAAUAUACAAAGAACUGAUCUUAUAUGAACAGGAAAAGUGAUCUAAUGAAACAUUAUCACUUGAUAAUAACAGUGUGUAAAAACCAAACUGACCGAUAAACUGAACCGAUAAAAAUAUUAUUGGUUUAUUGUUAUUGGGUUAACGAUUUUUNNNNNNNNNNNNNNNNNNNNNNNNNNNNNNNNNNNNNNNNNNNNNNNNNNNNNNNNNNNNNUAUAUAUAUAUAAAACAAAUCUAAUAUUUCAAUUAUACAAACUCUUAAUUUCUCCUACCAACAUUUAGUUCAAACUUGAAGAUUUUUGUAAACUAAAACACAUUAUAUAGGAUUUUUUUUGCAACUAAGAUUCGAUUUUUUUUCAUGUUAGUUACUACUAUUUCUGUUUUAUGAGAAUUUUCUUAUUGGUUAAAUCGAAAACCAAACCAUUAAGGACUAAAAACAGAUAAACCGAAAACCAAUGUUACAUAUUUCUCUUAAUUUCUCUUUAAUCUCUACAAAUUAACAAACCUAUUAUUUCAACUAUACAAACUCUUAAUUUCUCCUAACAACAUUUAGUUCAAACUUGAAGAUUCUUGUAAAUUAAAACACAUUAUAUAGAAUACUAAAUCAUCUAUCAUAGAUUCAAAACGAAAAAAACAGGAAAAAGUUAAGGUACUUUUGUCUUCACUUUCCUUUGACUACAAUAAUACAAACAACAUCAAAAUUGAAAAUUGAAGAAGAAAUAAUUUAUAGAAGAAUAACUCAAUUUCAAACAACACACACAUUUUUUCUACAUAUUUUUUCUCUCAUCCGUUUUUGUUAAAAGAAAAUACAUUAUUCAGAAUUAAAUGAAAGUACAACAAAAAAUAUCAUAUCAUGAAUGCCUACUUUUUCAAUAUUGAUGAUUACGCAUGUGAUGUCCAAGUAAAACCUUAGCCAUUAUAGCAACUUAUAAGUACAUAUGAUAUCUAUGACACCAAUAUUAAUAAUAAUAACAAUAUACGUACACGUAGAACUUACCUUUAUUCUACUACUAUUUCUUUUAUGGAUUAAAAGAUUAUGUCUGAUAGAUCCUCAACUCAAAAUGAUAAUAAUAAUAAUAAUGAUGAUAAUAAUAAUAAUCAAAUAACAAAAUUAAUUUAACAAAUAUUAAUGUAAACACAUAUUUGUUUGAGAUCACUACACGUUGCACAAACAAAACAAAAAUGGUUGUCAAAAGAAAGCAGUUGUACGGUGUAAACACAUUGUCAUAUUGUUUUCAUGAGAAAAUGAAGUGCAAGUCAAUUUUUGAAGAAUUGAUUUCUUUAAUUUAGCUUAUUCUUUUUCUUUUCCCUCAUAGGAGUCAUCUCCAUCAUUAUCUUUAUGAACGUAAGAAAAAAAAGUAAUAUAAGGUAUUUUAAUUGAGGUACUUAAUUUAAGAAAAUAAUUUGUAGAAAGUUACCAACCUAAAAUAGAAUAGGACCUUGUAAUGUAAAUAACUAUGUAAUAUAGGAUUUUGCAAUUUAAAUUAAUAUUUAAUAUCAUAAAAGGAAAAAAAGAUGAUUUUGUUUAAAGUGGAGACUUUUAAUGAAGGGCAAAAAGGGCCAACCCCAAUUAUAAGAACCUUCACACUUUUAAUAUAAUAGAGAUAGAGAUAGAGAUAGAGAUAGAGAUAGAGAUAGAGAUAAGGUAACUUUAGUUUGUGUAUAUAUGUAAAUUUUAGUAAUUUUAACCUGAUCUAAUGCCACUCCUCAUCCGACCUAGUCCAAAAUUAACCAUCCCAACCCAAUUCUAUAUCCAACUAGCCAACAUCAAGCCAAAUGACCCAGUCCACACCCUUAUAUUCCCUUUCUUCCAAUUAACUGAAUACCAACGUUAUCAACAAUAAUAACAAUGUUGUACAAGCUCCAGAGAACAACGAUCAAAGCUCCACCAACAACGUAACAACACAAACAAUUUCAAUAAUGUACAACUCCAAAGACAACGGCAAAACCCAAUCCCCAAACAGUCGACAACAAUAUCCAUGUCAGAAACAAUACAACAAUGACAAAAAACAGCCCAGCAACAAUAUUCUAAUUCGUACAAUUCCUGCUCAAGCCUCACCCAAAUUUGAAAUUCAAAUUUCUAACUUGUUUUUCCUUUUUACCCCUCCAAUUUCCCUCUAAAAUCCUAUAUAAAUACCCACCUAUGUAGAGAGAAAAAAGGAGGAUUUUUGGGAAAAAAUUUAGAGGUUUUGGAGGCGCGUGCUUCUAACCUCACGUAAUCAAAAUCCAAAAAGAAAGGCUUUUGAAAAUCAGUGCCGACGAAGGUUAAAUUUUGACAAAUUUGAAUUAAAAUUUUGGUGGUAGCGAAAGCCCGUCCUCAAAGUUCAUUUGUCUCAAAUCGUUGAUCCCAAAAAAGGUAAAUGAUUCAUCCCUUUCACACCUUCUCUUUUUUUAUUUAGUCGUUAUUAUGUGAAACUUCGUUGCUGGAGGUAAAAAUUAUUAUUACUGAGGGAUCUGUUCACGUUAGGAAUCUGUAGAAUGUUUUGAUCACUUUUUCUUUUGGUGAGAAUUCUAGGAUUAAGAGUUAAAGUUGUUCGCAUGAAAAGGUUUAAGACGAACUUAUUUAUGUUUUAUGAGUCCAAUUCAAUUUCUGGUGUGUUUAAUCUGUGACUUGAUAGUUUCUGCCUGUAAACGGUAGCUGAACUGGACAAUAGAUUUUUGUGUUUGAAACCAGCUGGGUAUCUUGAGUGUGUCGAGGACUGGCGUUGUAUUGUUGGGCUGAGGAUUCCUCAAGGUUCUUCUUGGCCUGUAAAGGCCAAAUAUACAGAGGAUGAAACCAUGAUGAAUUUUUUUUCUCUUUCUUUCAUUUUCCUUAUCCUUUCUAGGAGUGAAUUAAGAUUGGAAGAGAAAUUUCAUAAAUCUCUUUCUUCCUCUUUAGGAGAGUUCGCUGCCAGGGACUCCUCGUGAAUAUUAAAUGAGCUUGAUUGGAUCCUCUUUUACUCUUGCUUGCUUGGUUUAGCUUUCGUUUGACCAAUACCUAACACGUCUCUUUGGCUCUACUUGCUAAAUGAGGUUUAUGAGGAGCAACUUAUGGUUUGUCCUUUGAUGUUAUUUAAGUUUUAGUCGCCGGGAAAGUAUAAACGUCUGAUUCUAUGCUUAAUUGUUAGGCUGGUCAUGUGUUUGGCAUUAAAUAAGGAUAUAGUAUAGAUCACUAGUUGAAGAAUCAAUUUUUUAAAGCUUCACUAUAUUUCGUUUUGAUUAAUUCCAACCCCUCUUUAGUCUGCACUUGUGAUUUGUACACUGUCUAGUGGCUAAAGGACGGAGGUUAUAAAUAAUAUACCUUUUAAAUCACUAAGUGGAGGGCAAAUGAAUCAAUGGUAAAAGAAUUUUAAGAAAACUGUACUUCGAUUAGUGUCUUGUGUUGUAAAAAUGAUCAAAUUUUAAAGAGAACUAUUUUUUUCAUAUAUUUACUCACUAAUUAAGUUCGAUAAGAUGGUUAAUUAGACAGUAAAAUGUGCCCACUAUUCUAGGAGAAAAGAUAGUUUUUUCCCUGAACAUUCUUUCAAGACCAUCUUUCUGGUUAUUACUUCAUCACUACAAGGUUUUAUUCUGAAUUCAUGUACAAUUUGUAAUCUUUCCAAUUGCCAAAAGAUUAAUUACCUCAUGAAUUAGUGGCCUGCUUAAUUAGUUGUGUUUGGACAUUGCCCUGUGAACUUCAAGUUAUUUUCUUUUUUUUUUACUUCUAAGAUCAACCGUUGCAAUGGAUAAGUUCCAAUUAAACUUGAGAUUUCCCAGAAUUUUUUUCUGCUCUUAAACACGACAUUCACUUUUUUUUUAUCUUGAUGAUUUUGAUGGUCAGGUGACAAUUCAUUAUACGAUUUUCCUACUAACGUGGCUCUUUAAUAAUCUUGUGUGGCUUGAAAUAGAAAUAGAUUACUACUAACUGAAUUUUUUGUGAAGUGAAAUUAUUUCCUUGUCUAUUAUCGUAUGAGUUGGCACUAAUUUCGUUCAUUUCUUUUAUCCAUGAAAACCCUCGUUGGAGUCCAAUUGGACUCCAUACCCUGCAUUUCUUCGGGAUCAAGUCCAAACCUCCCCUGAGUCCAAAAUGGACUAAUACUUCAAGAAAAAUGAAUUAAUAUAUCAUCGACAGCUUCUGGUAUACAUUUGUAUAUGCUGUAUAUACAGGAUUUAAAGGUCAAAGGCGGUUGAUAUAUGUCUAGAUAUGGAGCAUGAUGAAACCGGGAGCGAGAAUACGCUGAUAUACAGCAUAUAUACAAAACAAAUGCAAAUAAAAGAGCUGUGAUAUACGGCUGGUAUACACUUCAGAAAAUGAACUGAAGUCCAUAAUUCCAAGCCCAAAAGCCGGGCAGCUUGAUUAAUGGGCAAAUUAAAGGCCCAAUUUCAAUUCUUGUAUUAUUCUUUGUAGCUUAUAAUUUAUCCUUGUUUAUUUGUACUAACAUUCUAAUCAAUUAAUCUAGAUAAAUUCCCUAAAGUGUUGUCAUUUUAUUUUAUCUUAGCUUUCUUUUAGGUGGUUCAUAAUUUUUUCACAUAAUUUAUAUUGUCUAAAAUAGAUUAAAUUGGUUCCUUCAAUUUUCUCUUUAAACAAGUCUUUAAAGAUCUAGUAUUUUGUUCCAAAAUGACAUUCGUUAUGUUCAUAUAACUAAUAGUCUAUUUGGAUUAAAGUAACCUUCUUCAAACUCAAGAAACUAAAUUUCUCAUAAAUUUUAACUUUCCAUUAGUAAUAAGAUACUUUUAAUUUAAUAUUCUCUUAACCUUUUUCUUCAAUGGAAUUUUCUAUAACAAAAUUGACUUUUUCAUAAUAAUGAUUAAUAUUAAGAAAAAAUAAUUAUACGGUAUUUUUCUUUUUCCAUAAAAAUAGAAAAAAAAUUCCUCUUAAAAUUCCAAAGAAAUUUUUUAUUUAGUUUAAUUCAAGUAGAAUAUUUUCUAGUCUAAAUUUUAAAUAUGUAAAUAAAUGAAUUUAGCAUUUCGCAAAGUUAGUCAUUUUUAAGUUAGUUAAAAAAAUAUUUUGUACGCCGUUUUAAAAGGACGCUACUAAGUGUCUUAAUAACCUUCUUAGGACGUUAAUCGAACCCUUCCCCAGUUUCUUUAGUUUUAAAGGUUUAUUUCUGUUUUUGAACCUCUGAAACUCUUUCAAGUUUUCUUGAUUCUUCUAUAAAAAUCAAAUGGCGAAUCUAUGAAUUUUUUUAAAAUUAUUUCAAUUUUUUUUUAAUCUUUUGAAAUAGUUUUAAAGUGGUCAAAACUAUUUUCUCGCCAAAUGAAACCCAAAAGGGGUAAAACAGAAAUGGAGACUCUACUGGGGAUGUAACUAGGUUCUAACCAAAUAUUUGAACUAACUUCUUUGAAUAAUUAUUCGGAUUUGUAAUACUUGAACUGUUUGUUUGCUUAUGUGUUUAAGUUUUUGUAAAAUUUAAACUGUUGCAUUUCUGGCAUACUUCUAUAUUUGAAUAUAUAAAAUAUUUUGGGGUUUCGCGUAUGUCCCGGUCCCUAUUUAUUAAUUCCAAAUGGAGUGUUGAAAAUACUAUAGUUUAUUGGCACGUUAGACGCCUGAUGGUUGUUCAUAUUUUAAAACCCGAGUUGUCCACUCGGAAACCUGGUCAAAGCCCACUCUAGAUACCUAGGAUAGAGUGAAAUCAAAAUUUCUUUUAGGCAUGAGCCUAGGAUGACCCAAUGACUGCGGGGGUAUUGGGCCCAUUAGAAAAACUCACCUUAUGUCUAUUGACCACAAGUCAAUAAUAGAGAUCGUUCUUUAUGUGUUUUAAUUAAGGAUAUAAUGCCGGAUUGUACAAACCAUUGUCCCUUGGGAUAUAUUUGGGGGGCAAUGGAACAUCUUCAAAUGACACGUAUGUCCUUCAUAAGUUAGGCCUUCCUUUGGAUUAGAAGGUCCCAUGUAUGCUAGGACGCGUAAUAAUUAUUUAUGUGCUAAAGUGUUUUAUUGUUUUGCUUUGUCUAUAGUUGCUUGAUCUUUGUAUUUAAAUAACAUAUAUUUGGCUUUAAACAACACUAGUCCAUUAUUCUAUUUUAAAAUCUUAGAGCAUUACAAUAGGCAUAUAAAACUCAUAAUUUAAACCCUUCCAAAAUACCCUUAAAAGUU